rnacentral:rRNA from 1 species
UCUGGUAGUUAUGGCGAGAAGGUCACACCCGUUCCCAUCCCGAACACGGUAGUUAAGCUUCUC